CCUACGGGCGGCUGCAGUGGGGAAUAUUGGACAAUUGGCGAAAGCCUGAUCCAGCCAUGCCGCGUGUGUGAAGAAGGCCUUCGGGUUGUAAAGCACUUUCAGUGGGGAAGAAAGCCUUGGGGCUAAUACCCUCGAGGAAGGACAUCACCCACAGAAGAAGCACCGGCUAACUCCGUGCCAGCAGCCGCGGUAAUACGGAGGGUGCGAGCGUUAAUCGGAAUUACUGGGCGUAAAGCGCGCGUAGGCGGUCUGAUAAGCCGGUUGUGAAAGCCCCGGGCUCAACCUGGGAACUGCAUCCGGAACUGUCAGGCUAGAGUGCAGGAGAGGAAGGUAGAAUUCCCGGUGUAGCGGUGAAAUGCGUAGAGAUCUGGAGGAAUACCAGUGGCGAAGGCGGCCUUCUGGACUGACACUGACGCUGAGGUGCGAAAGCGUGGGUAGCAAACAGGAUUAGAUACCCUAGUAGUC
rnacentral:rRNA from 1 species